GAUAAAGUGGCUGAGGAUUAAGCGAUAAAUUGUAAAUUUAUUAACGAAAUUAUUUUCCUUUAUC
rnacentral:tRNA from 1 species